CCUACGGGGCGCAGCAGUGGGGAAUAUUGCACAAUGGGGGGAACCCUGAUGCAGCGACGCCGCGUGAGUGAAGAAGUAUUUCGGUAUGUAAAGCUCUAUCAGCAGGGAAGAAAAUGACGGUACCUGACUAAGAAGCCCCGGCUAACUACGUGCCAGCAGCCGCGGUAAUACGUAGGGGGCAAGCGUUAUCCGGAUUUACUGGGUGUAAAGGGAGCGUAGACGGCAGAGCAAGUCUGAAGUGAAGGCCCGCGGCCCAACUGCGGGACUGCUUUGGAAACUGUAGUUCUUGAGUGAUGGAGAGGCAG
rnacentral:rRNA from 1 species